UACGUAGGGGGCUAGCGUUGUCCGGAAUCAUUGGGCGUAAAGAGCUCGUAGGCGGUUCAGUUAGUCGGGUGUGAAAUCUCCGGGCUCAACCCGGAGGGGCCACCCGAUACUGCUGUGACUUGAGUCCGGUAGGGGAGUGGGGAAUUCCUGGUGUAGCGGUGAAAUGCGCAGAUAUCAGGAGGAACACCGGUGGCGAAGGCGCCACUCUGGGCCGGUACUGACGCUGAGGAGCGAAAGCGUGGGUAGCAAACAGG
rnacentral:rRNA from 1 species